UGGGGAAUAUUGCGCAAUGGGCGAAAGCCUGACGCAGCGACGCCGCGUGGGUGAUGAAGGCCUUCGGGUCGUAAAGCCCUGUCGGGGGGGACGAAACCUCGGCGACCUAAUAUGUCGCCGACUUGACGGUACCUCCAAAGGAAGCACCGGCUAACUCCGUGCCAGCAGCCGCGGUAAUACGGAGGGUGCAAGCGUUGUUCGGAAUCACUGGGCGUAAAGCGCGUGUAGGCGGCCUUCUAAGUCUGAUGUGAAAGCCCGGGGCUUACCUCCGGAAGUGCAUUGGAAACUGGAAGGCUAGAGUACCGGAGAGGAAGGUGGAAUUCCUGGUGUAGCGGUGAAAUGCGUAGAUAUCAGGAGGAACACCGGUGGCGAAGGCGGCCUUCUGGACGGCUACUGACGC
rnacentral:rRNA from 1 species